GACGAACGCUGACGGCGUGCUUAACACAUGCAAGUCGAACGGAAAGGCCCUGCUUUUGUGGGGUGCUCGAGUGGCGAACGGGUGAGUAACACGUGAGUAACCUGCCCUUGACUUUGGGAUAACUUCAGGAAACUGGGGCUAAUACCGGAUAGGAGCUCCUGCUGCAUGGUGGGGGUUGGAAAGUUUCGGCGGUUGGGGAUGGACUCGCGGCUUAUCAGCUUGUUGGUGGGGUAGUGGCUUACCAAGGCUUUGACGGGUAGCCGGCCUGAGAGGGUGACCGGCCACAUUGGGACUGAGAUACGGCACAGACUCCUACGGGAGGCAGCAGUGGGGAAUAUUGCACAAUGGGCGGAAGCCUGAUGCAGCAACGCCGCGUGCGGGAUGACGGCCUUCGGGUUGUAAACCGCUUUCGCCUGUGACGAAGCGUGAGUGACGGUAAUGGGUAAAGAAGCACCGGCUAACUACGUG
rnacentral:rRNA from 1 species